rnacentral:rRNA from 1 species
AUUGAACGCUGGCGGCAUGCUUUACACAUGCAAGUCGAACGGCAGCGCGGGCUUCGGCCUGGCGGCGAGUGGCGAACGGGUGAGUAAUGCAUCGGAACGUGCCCAGUAGUGGGGGAUAGCCCGGCGAAAGCCGGAUUAAUACCGCAUACGACCUGAGGGUGAAAGCGGGGGACCGCAAGGCCUCGCGCUAUUGGAGCGGCCGAUGUCGGAUUAGCUAGUUGGUGGGGUAAAGGCUUACCAAGGCGACGAUCCGUAGCUGGUCUGAGAGGACGACCAGCCACACUGGGACUGAGACACGGCCCAGACUCCUACGGGAGGCAGCAGUGGGGAAUUUUGGACAAUGGGGGCAACCCUGAUCCAGCCAUGCCGCGUGCGGGAAGAAGGCCUUCGGGUUGUAAACCGCUUUUGUUCGGGAAGAAAUCCUCUGGGCUAAUACCCCGGGGGGAUGACGGUACCGGAAGAAGAAGCACCGGCUAACUACGUG